GCUGAUCAAGGGCCUAAACGCGCACAGGGAGCCAAAGGGGUCAAAGGAGAAGAGGGACCCGCAGGACAACAGGGUAUCCAAGGAGGGCCAGAGAAGAGGGGAAACUGUGGAUUUCCAGGCGCUUGAGGACCCAGUGGACAAAAGAUGUUCUACACUGGAGCUGGAAUGAACCCUGUCAGAUCCUUCGCUCCUGCUAUGUUCAAGGGGAACUCCAUGAACCACUGGGUAAGAAAAAUAUAUACAAAUUAUGCAUAAAAAAACAUGCUCAUAGUCUCGCAUUGUUUGUAAACUACUUUCAAUUCAGAUAUAAUAGAUGUAAUAGUGUUACAUUGUUUUAGUCUUUUACAGAAUGCGCAAUGCACUGCAUGUAUUUCUUAGCUGCAUGUAACUAUAAUAUGGUUUCUGUUCUUCCCUCCUCGUGCCUGCGCCCGUCGGUCCGUGUGUCCGUCCAGCUGGCUGUGCGUGCAUCUGUCUCUGCGUCCGUGCCUACGUCUGGCCGGCAGUGCGUCCGUCCGUGCGUCAGUCGGUCUGUGCGUCCGUCUGUGCUUCCGUCUGUGCCUACGUG